UCCAGAGUGAUAACCUACUUGGCUGCUGCUUGCUGAACUCAUGCAUGGAUCUGGACUAGAAGAUGGGCAUGUAGAAAUAACCAUCCUUCACUGGCCACGUGAUGAUCCAGUACUAGAAGAUCACUCUUCUCAUACUCUGUUGAACAAGGUCAACAGGUGGAGAAUUACUAAAAAGAAACAUUAAGUAUAAAGAGGAUCCUGGAUAGCCUGACCUGAGAAGAUCCUUGCUGAGGACAGCCACAUGACCUAUGACAGUGAGUUCCUGUGUGAAACUACCACUCCCGGACGGCAACACGGCACUUGACGCCUGAACCAGUGUGUACCGACCGUACCUGGGUGGUGGCAGGCUCUUCGUACCCUCUGGUGCUGGGACUGCAAAGCCCCUCCGGCCUGUUCCCGAGAACGCGCAGCUCCCGGCAUCCUGUGGGCGUGUUCCCCCUUGACCCUGCGUACUGCGAGCCCUGGCACACGCACGACGUCCACAUCCGGGGCUCUUGCUAGCGGGAGGAAGAUGGCGGCGACCGCAACUGUGGUGGUUCCCGCCGAGUGGAUAAGGAACUGGGAGAAAUCGGGGAGAGGCGAGUUUUUGCGUUUAUGCCGGUUUCUCAGUGAAAGCAAAAGCUGUGACAGUUCCGCUUACAGAGAUUUUCAACAAGCUCUCUAUGAGUUGUCGUACUAUGUCGUUAAAGGACAUUUAAAGUAUGAGCAAGCAUCUAAUGUCCUUCAUGACAUUAGUGAAUUUCGUGAGGAUAUGCCAUUCAUUCUUGCUGAUGUAUUCUGCAUCUUAGAUAUUGAGACAAAUUGUUUAGAAGAAAAGAGCAAGAGAGACUAUUUUACACAGUUGGUAUUAGCAUGCUCCUAUUUAGUUUCAGACACAGUGCUAAAAGAACGCUUGGAUCCAGAAACAUUGGAAUCAUUAGGCCUGAUCAAACAAUCACAGCAGUUCAAUCAAAAGUCAGUUAAAAUCAAGACCAAACUGUUUUAUAAGCAGCAGAAAUUCAAUUUGUUAAGAGAAGAAAAUGAAGGUUAUGCCAAGCUGAUUGCUGAACUGGGACAAGAUUUUUCUGGAAAUAUUACUAGUGAGUUAAUUUUAGAGAUCCUCAAAUCAUUAAUAGGCUGCUUUAAUCUGGAUCCUAAUAGAGUUUUGGAUGUCAUUUUAGAAGUGUUUGAAUGCAGGCCAGAAUAUCAUGACUUCUUUAUAUCUUUAUUAGAAUCUUACUUGAGUAUGUGUGAACCACAAACACUGUGUCAUAUUCUUGGGUUCAAAUUCAACUUUUACCAGGAACCAAAUGGUGAGACUCCAUCAUCUUUAUACAGAGUUGCGGCAGAACUUCUGCAGUUUAAUCUUAUUGACUUAGAUGAUCUGUACGUACAUCUUCUUCCAACUGAUAACUGCAUUAUGAACGAGUAUAAACGAGAAAUUGUGGAAGCUAAGCAGAUUGUUAGAAAACUUACUAUGGUUAUACUGCCUUCUGACAAAACUGAUGACCGAGAGAAAGAAAAGAAAAAAGAUGAUAAAGUAGAGAAGGCACCUGAAAAUCAAAAACUUGGUUUGCUGGAAGCCUUGCUGAAGAUCGGUGAUUGGCAGCAUGCACAGAACAUCAUGGAUCAGAUGCCUCCGUACUAUGCAGCUUCACAUGAAGUAAUAGCCCUUGCAAUUUGCAGGCUUAUACACAUAACUAUUGAGCCUCUCUACCGAAGAGUUGGUGUUCCUAAAGGUGCUAAAGGCUCACUUGUUACUGCCUUACAAAACAAGAGAGCACCAAAGCAAGCAGAGAACUUUGAAGAUUUAAGGAGAGAUACAUUUAGUAUGUUCUGUUACCUUGGUCCUUACCUUUCUCAUGAUCCCAUUUUAUUUGCAAAACUUGUGCGCAUAGGAAAGUCAUUUAUGAAGGAGUUUCAGUCUGAGGGAAGUAAAAAAGAAGAUAAAGAGAAAAUGGAAGUUAUCUUUAGUUGUUUGCUUAGCAUAACUGACCAGGUACUACUUCCAUCUCUUUCUUUGAUGGACUGCAAUGCUUGUAUGUCUGAGGAACUAUGGGGAAUGUUUAAAACAUUUCCUUAUCAACAUAGAUAUCGCUUAUAUGGCCAAUGGAAGAAUGAUACUUACAAUAGCCAUCCACUUUUAGUAAAAGUUAAGGCUCAAACAAUAGACAGAGCCAAAUAUAUCAUGAAGCGUCUGACCAAAGAAAAUGUGAAGCCUUCAGGAAGACAGAUUGGGAAGUUGAGCCACAGCAAUCCAACCAUUUUGUUUGAUUAUAUCUUAUCACAAAUACAGAAGUAUGAUAACUUAAUAACACCUGUAGUAGACUCAUUGAAAUACCUCACUGCAUUGAAUUAUGAUGUCUUGGCCUAUUGUAUCAUUGAAGCUUUAGCUAACCCAGAAAAGGAAAGAAUGAAACAUGAUGAUACAACCAUCUCUAGCUGGCUUCAAAGUCUUGCUAGUUUCUGUGGUGCGGUUUUUCGUAAAUAUCCAAUUGAUCUUGCGGGUCUUCUUCAAUAUGUGGCCAAUCAGCUAAAGGCAGGGAAAAGUUUCGACCUGCUUAUAUUGAAAGAAGUGGUACAAAAAAUGUCAGGAAUAGAAAUUACAGAGGACAUGACAAUGCAUCAGUUAGAGGCUAUGACUGGUGGCGAACAGUUAAAAGCUGAGGGUGGUUAUUUUGGCCAGAUAAGAAAUACUAAAAAAUCCUCUCAGAGAUUAAAGGAUGCUUUACUUGACCAUGGUCUUGCUCUUCCUCUUUGUUUACUUAUGGCUCAGCAGAGGAAUGGAGUAAUCUUUCAAGAAGGAGGAGAGAAACAUUUGAAACUUAUAGGAAAGCUUUAUGACCAGUGCCAUGAUACUUUAGUACAGUUUGGGCGAUUUUUAGCGUCAAAUCUAAGCACAGAGGAUUAUAUAAAGCGAGUGCCUUCAAUUGAUGUGCUCUGCAAUGAAUUUCAUACACCCCAUGAUGCAGCAUUUUUUCUGUCUAGGCCAAUGUAUGCACACCAUAUUUCAUCAAAGUAUGAUGAACUUAAAAAGUCAGAAAAAGGAAGUAAACAGCAACAUAAAGUUCAUAAGUACAUUACAUCAUGUGAGAUGGUGAUGUCUCCGGUCCAUGAAGCAGUGGUGUCCUUACACAUUUCCAAGGUUUGGGAAGAUAUUAGCCCUCAGUUCUAUACCACAUUCUGGUCAUUAACAAUGUAUGACCUUGCAGUUCCACAUACCAGUUAUGAACGAGAAGUCAAUAAACUUAAAAUCCAGAUGAAAGCAAUUGAUGACAAUCAGGAAAUGCCUCCAAAUAAGAAGAAAAAAGAGAAGGAACGUUGUACUGCCCUUCAAGACAAGCUUCUUGAAGAAGAAAAGAAACAGAUGGAACAUGUACAGAGAGUUUUACAGAGACUGAAAUUGGAAAAGGACAACUGGCUGUUAGCAAAAUCAACCAAAAAUGAAACCAUCACAAAAUUUCUACAGAUGUGCAUAUUUCCUCGGUGCAUUUUUUCAGCAAUUGAUUCUGUUUACUGUGCUCAUUUUGUUGAAUUGGUACAUCAACAGAAGACACCAAAUUUCUCCACACUUCUUUGCUAUGAUCGUGUUUUCUCUGACAUAAUCUACAUGGUCGCUAGCUUUACUGAAAAUGAAGCUAGUCGAUAUGGGAGAUUUCUAUGCUAUAUGUUAGAGACUGUGACCAGGUGGCAUAGUGACAGAGCCACAUAUGAAAAGGAAUGUGGAAACUAUCCAGGAUUCCUUACUAUAUUACGAGCAACUGGAUUUGAUGGUGGAAAUAAAGCUGAUCAACUAGAUUAUGAAAAUUUUCGACAUGUUGUACACAAAUGGCAUUACAAACUAACCAAGGCAUCAGUACAUUGCCUUGAAACAGGCGAAUAUACUCACAUCAGGAAUAUCUUAAUUGUGCUAACAAAAAUACUUCCUUGGUAUCCAAAAGUUUUAAAUCUAGGUCAGGCUUUGGAAAGGAGAGUACAUAAAAUCUGCCAAGAAGAGAAAGAAAAGAAGCCAGAUCUUUAUGUACUAGCAAUGGUGUACUCUGGGCAGCUGAAAAAUAGGAAGGCACACAUGAUACCUGAAAAUGAGUUUCAUCACAAAGACCCUCCUCCAAGGAAUGCUGCUGCCACUGUUCAAAACGGGGCUGCUGGUGGACCACCUUCAUCUGUAGGAAGUACACCUAAAACAGAUGAGAGCAGUGCUGAGGAGGCUGAUAGAUCAAGGGAGAGAUCUCAGUAUGCUGUGAAGGCUGUUAGUAAAGCUUCUAAUGUCACACCAAAAGGAAAUUCAAGCAGUGGGAAUAGUGGUUCUAACAACAAAGCUGUUAAAGAAAAUGACAAGGAAAAAGGGAAAGAGAAGGAAAAAGAAAAAAAAGAAAAGACCCCAGCUGCUACUACUACAGAUACGAGGGCACUUGGUAAAGAAAGUAAAGAAAAACCAAAGGAUGAACAGCCAAGUAAGGAUGAAAAGGCAAGAGAGACCAAGGAGAGAACUCCUAAGUCUGACAAAGAGAAGGAAAAGUUCAAGAAGGAAGAAAAAGAUAAGGAUGAGAAAUUUAAGGUCCUCAUCCCCAAUGUAGAAUCCAAGUCUUCUCAAGAAAGGGACAAAGAAAAAGAGCCACCCAGAGAAAGAGAUGUAACAAAAGAAAUGAAGUCAAAAGAAAAUGUUAAAGGAGGAGAUAAAAUGCCAAUUUCUGGGUCCUUGAAGUCACUUGUUCCCCGAUCAGAAAAUGCAGAGCCUGAAAGGGAACAGAAACGCCGCAAAGUUGAUAACCAUCCUCCUUCACAUUCCUCCUUGAUAAAGGACAGUCUCAUCAAACUCAAGGAGUCUUCAGCAAAGCUCUACCUUAACCAUACUCCUCCACCACUGUGCAAGAGUAAGGAGAGAGAAACGGACAAAAAAGAUUUGGACAAGUCAAGGGAAAGAUCUAAAGAAAAAGAGAAAAAAGAUGAAAAAGAUAGGAAAGAGCGGAAAAGGGAUCAUUCAAAUAAUGACCGUGAAAUGCCACUAGACUUGCCCAAAAGACGGAAAGAGGAAAAUGGAGCAGCUGGGUUUCCAAAACACAAGAGUGAAAGUCCUUGUGAGUCUUAUCCAGGUGAGAAAGACAAGGAGAAAAGUAAGUCGAAAUCCUCAGGCAAAGAAAAAGGUAGUGAUUCAUUGAAAUCUGAGAAGAUGGAGAAAAUUUCCACUGGCAAAAAGGAAUCUGGACAUGAUAAAGAAAAAAUAGAGAAAAAAGAGAAAUGGGAUAGUUCUGGUGAAAAGGAGGAGAAGAAGCACCACAAGUCCUCGGACAAGCACAGAUAAUGAAGACUCAAAAACCAAGGGUAUGGACAGGCCUCUAUAAACUGAAGUUCUCUAGCAGAGAAUGCCUAAGAUCUGCAGGGCACUCAGAAUGAUCUCUCAUGACUAAGAACUUCAGGUGCUGUCCAUUUUACAGUAAUCUGCUUUAAAUCAGAAGAUGAUUAUAUACACUACCAUGCUCUUGAGACAUUCCAAAGUCAAUAGUUUUUAGAACAUUAUUUUCACCUCCAGGCAGUUUCUUGCUGCAAGUUCCUUGUGCACAUAGUUUUUACAUGAGAUUUGCCACCCAGGAAUGACAUCUACUGAAAUUUCACCAACUGAGUUUUAAUUCAUCCUACUUUCUCAGAAAGUUCCUGGAGUACCUAAGCCAUCCUUUAUUGUGGCACCUUUUCCACUAUGUUACUUCGUCUCACACCAUUGAUAAGAGACACUUGUACAGCUCCUUCUCAUGCCAGACCCUGUUCAAAGGUGUGUAAUCACAGAACACCCCUAAGCAAGCCUCAGUGAUUCUCCAGUCUCUGCACCCCAUGGACCUAGGUUACAGAAGUACAAGACCAUGGCCAGCUUUUUACAUGGAUUCUGGGGCAUCAAACUUGGUAGUCUCCAGCCCAAGAGACGUUCAUGUGAGAAAAUGGACAUUGCCGUCAUAUGGGAGGUCCAGGGCUAACAUUAAAGUCUUGGACAGCCUUUCUUAUUUUGAUGUCUCUGUGUUUGGGUUGGAUCAUGCAAAAUAAUGAACUCAUCUGUGUCUAAAAUAUUCAAGAAAAGCUGUACUGAUGUAGAUUUAAGUAUCCACAAAGUACAACCAAGAUGGAGACCAGCAACUGACUGAACAUGAUUAUCAGAUGAAGAGGGAAGACUUGGAGAAAGCACAGCCUGAUGAGAGGAGUGGACAGACUGUGUGGAGCACUCCCAUCAGCAGCAUUGUGUUCGAGAUCCAAAUAAUGACCUCAGAGCUAACCAUCCUUGAGCUAAACUGAAGAGAUGUAGCGGACAGGGAGGCUGCAGUAGCAGUGGCCAAGGAUAAGACUGGGUGUUGACAGUGAGAUGCACAGGGAACAAGGAACAGCUGACCCAGGAAGACUUGGAAGCACAUGGGUACACACAACAGUGAUAAGCAUCAUAGCAGAAGCCAGCAUUGUUCCUCCUCCCAGUCUACAGAGGGCCUGGAAGGUGGAGAUGGAGGUGGGAUGCUGAUGUCCAUGUGUAAUUCUCCACAUGUGCUAGUGUGUGUGCACGCUACUGAGAGUCACUGUCCCAACUUGCUAUGACAAGUAGUUACUUAUGUGCCUGAAUACCAUAUGACACUGGUCUUUGUGACCAGUUAGUAAUUUUCUUGCACUUUAUUUUAUAUAAACAACCCAUUGAUGAAAGGUUUUUUUUUAAACUUUUUUCAUGUAUCACAAUGUAAAUACUGAGUUAAGGUUGGAGGGGGGUGGCUCUAUAAAGAAUAUUGAGAAGUGUGCCCAGGUGACAAUGAAGUAGCCUUGUAAUGUGAGAACUGCCAGGGAUGUCUGGGUUCAAGUUAAGCCAUAUAAGUCAUAUUGCGAUUUUUAUCCAAUGUGCAAAGGGAAAGUAGGGCAUUUCCCCUCAGAGGCAACUGGUAUGGUAGCUUAAUACAUAGUUUUCUUAUAAGAAAACAGCCUUUGAUUUCAACCACCUUCCUGGGUGAACUUUUCCUGAAAAACAAAAUGGAAAUGAACUCCAAAUCACAGCAUGGGUAUAUGGCCAUUAUACUAGAGUUUGUAUGGAUGGCUGAGGUAGUGUGCUUUUUUGUAGUUUUCUCAUGUCUGUGGGGCUCUGUCACUUAGGUUUUGUAUUAUUUAGCUACAAAAUGGCCUCAGAAAAUCACCAGAGGUCAGUUAUAAGAAAAAAUACUAUGUCUAAUAACAACAUAGAAUUAAAAUAAGCCUUAAAUUGUCACUAAGUUUGAAUUGUUUCCAUAAUUUGUUUAGUGUCAAGAUUUUUCCACUUAUUAUCUUUUCCAUAUGUUUCAACCUAAUUUGAAACUGAAUUUAGUAUUAGAAGUUACCUAGUGGGACAAACUUAGUACAAUUUUUAGUAUUCACUGAAAGUUUUAAUGAAUCAAAUGUGUUCAUUUUAAGCAAGAUUUUAAGGGAGCUUUUUACAUUCAUAUGAAAUUCAAUAUACAAUAAAGUUCAGUUUAAUUAAAAGCAGGCUUAUUUGGUUUAAAGUCCAUCCAUUAUCAGAAGGCAUCAGCCCUAAUAGUUUGCAGUAAUGGGGUUGUUUUAUUAGGAGAAGCUCGUAACAACUUUAUGUGAUAAAAUCUUUCUCAAUUAAAAAAAAUGUUUUAAACAUAUUGAGAACUACUAGUAUAAGGAAGAUACAGUUCAGUGCUGGUGAUUUAUUGUCACUUGGAGAACCAGUAAAAGACAACUCUGCUUUUAAUGUAGUCUCUUAAGUUCUCAAUUUGUUGGCUUAAUUGUUAGAAUGUGACAGUAUAUCAGCAGUAAAAGUAUGAACAGACAGGCCUUUCUAAGUCAGCUUCUAGCAAAGUGAGCCUUGUUGGUUUUACCACACUUCCCAUGUGGCUUUGUCUUAGUCCUUUCCUUUGAGUGUAUUAGUGAAGCUCAUUCAUCCUCUGUACUCAAGCCUGUAUACAAGGCAUGUUGGGUUUAUAUGUUCAUGUUGUUUCCAUAGGUAUGUUCUGACCAUGUGCUGUAUAUGUCCAUUAAGGUCAUGAGAAAGGUUUUGAUGAUACAUAUAUUUAUACUGUUUCAUAACACCUGUAAAUCUUUUUACACGAGUCCUUCAUAUUUUUUUCUUUUAUACUUAUGAAAAUUCAGUCCUAAUUUUAUCCUUAUCAUCUUCCUGUCUGUAUUGCUAUAAUUAGGAUGUUAAUUAUAAGUCUUCCCUUCAAAAUCAAGUUUCAUAAUUGUGUAAUACCAAACACUUUACUUAAUAAAGAUGGAAGAGUUAUCUAU